AGCAGAGUGCAGAACUCACUGAGAGAGCGUGGCCAGGCAGCGCCUUCCCUGGGACCCGGAUCCGCUAAGCAUGUCCGCAGCUGGUCAGAGCACGAGUGGCUGAGAGUAUGCCCCAUUUUCCUGAGCAACAGCCUCUUACAGACAGAAAAAUCAAGGUGCCAUCAGCUAUCCAUACUGUGUCAUCAGGCUCUGCCACAGCGUAGACAGGGCAAGGAGGACAAUGACUGAGUCUACACAGUUAAGCAGCUUAUCCAAGGGACCACGAAGAACAGUUCAUUCAGCCUGUCAACACACAAGUGUCUUGAAUAAUUUCUCCAUUGCGUGAAGUUGUUUGGCAAUGAUGGAGCGGUGAUGGACCUUUAGCUACGAUAACCUUUCAAAACAUGAAAAUAUCCACUGCCACAUUUGUUAUAGAGGAAGGUUCUAAACUCUGGGGUGGGCAGGCAGAACUGCACCCCUGAUGAAUGAAGUGGAAAUGCUAUUUGAACUUUCAGACCCAGAGAACACUGCCUGGAGUUUAGGACUGCUUUGACAAUUAUUGAAGACAAUGUAGCUGAGGUCUGUGAUUCAGAACCUGGCACAUGAUUGAUUGUAAACAAAUGGCAGUUUCCUUUUUCCAAAAAUUAAAUGAAAUUUUUGGCUGGUGCUUAUUUCCGCUUAAGAACAAUUUUUUGCUGAGCUGAGUUUUUAAAGUGACUUUCUGAACAAUGUGAUGGAUAUUAUACUGAAAAUAAAGCAUGUAUCAUAAAAGCAUUUUGAAAUUUAACCACAACUACAACACAUGAUUUUGAAAUUCUCGUAUAGCAAGCUUAGACAUGGACAGCCAAAAGGCUUAGCUCUUCCCACCCCCGUAGACACAUCUUAGUGGACACCAAGCUCACGGAAGGGAGGAAGUUUUGCUGGGAAGAUGCAGUGAGCAAAGCCACAAUAUUCAAAUUCCAAAAUACUUUACUUCAUUAUCAAAGCAUCAAUGCAAUUUUAGUAACACUGGACAUUCAUGUCUGUUAUCGCGUUAAUUUCUCUACAUGGAUAAAUAAACCUGUCACGACUGAGAGAGAUUUUAUUAUUCUCACUUAUUGUUAAAGACAGAAGAGCAAGAGACAUUGACCUAGUUUUUUAAGAUAAAUAGUAGUAGCUAUCAGGUCUGUUGGACUUUAGCGCCUGAAUACCCAAACAUCACACCAUUCUGUCUUUGCCCAGAUGAUCCAGGCCUGGUUCCUUACAAGCAUCAUUUAUAGAGACCGUAGAGAAAAAUUCACUAAUGUUUUAAGGCUUUUUGACUAGCUGAUAUGCCAGAUUUUUUUUUUUUUUCAGAUGAGAAUCAAGUUAUGGACCAGCUUGUCCGGCUCUUUCAAUUCCUUUAUACCAAGAGUUCUGGUGUUACGGCUUAACACGUGCUGCUUAGGUAAAGCCUCACUUUCUGAUGCUUCACUGAGCUAGCUACAGUGUAGGGUACUCUCGGGAUCAGAGGAAUUACUAGGUUAGUACCGAUUGGUUUAGACGGGUCACAUGACUUAGGAAAUGACAGGCGUAAAGGUACUGUCAAUCUAUAAAAAGGGGAGGGGAAUGAAAGACAGGAAUUCGGCAUGAGCAUGUGAACUUCAUACGUUUGUGGCUAGAUACAAAUAGAGUGCCCGGCCAAAGUAACGUAAGAGAAGAGGGUUUAUUCCGGCUUAUGGUUUAGGGAAUUCGAGCCAUCAUGGUGGAAAAGGCGAGACAGUGGAACCAGAUCCUAUCUGUGGUAGUGGGAGUGUGAGCCUGCCUGCUCAUCUCCUGGGGUCAGAAAGCAGAGAAAGGUGGAGCUGGUCUGUCAUUCUCAAGCCCUGCUCUGUCUCUGCUUCCGCCAGCUAGGCUCCAUGUCCAAAACGGUUCUACACCGUCUCCAAACAGCUCCGCCAGCCAGAGACUAAGUGAUCAAAUGCACAAGCCUGAGGGAGAGAGUUUGCACUCAAAUCGCAACUGGAAAUUAUCCUUUUUGCCCAUUUCCCUACACUCAGGUUGGACUGAAACUAAACAGUAUGCAUACAAGGAGACUGGAGAGAUGCCUCAACCGUUAAGAUGGCUCAACUUCCUGUCUUUCAAGAGUACCUCUGUUUUCUUCCCAGGAACCUAGUUGGGUGGCUCACAGGCUCGUAUAACUCCAGCUCUGGGGGAUCCAACAUCCUCUUCUGGCCUCUGAGGGCACUCCUCUCCCUCAACACACAUGUGUGUCAUACACACACGGACACACCACAUAAAUAAAAAUAAAACAUGCAUAAAACUCUACAGAAAUGUUUUAAAAAUAGCUUUCAAUCUAAUUACUAAAAGAAUUUUGAUUUAAAAUGCAGAAACAAAAUUUGAUACUAAAGGCUAGUCUCCCCUCCCCCGCUUCUUUCUGGAGUAAUCAAUCUUCUAAGAGAACAUUUUUGGGCAAAUGUAACUAUGUUAAUGAUUUAUACAGUUUCAAAAGAAUGUUUCAUUUAACUUCCUAAUGGAAAAUAACGUUCUGUUCAGACAUUUUAAAAUGUAUUUUAAAAGACUUGUACUUGAGACUCAAGGUCAUGAUCUAAACAUUCUGAAUAAGUGUUUUUAUGUGUACUUGUCUGUAGUUUAAUUGUCGAUUGGCCUUGGUAUUAAAUCAUGGGAAAAAAAUGUCAAUGAUCCGUUCUAGAAGGGGAUUUUUGUGGAUCAAAUGGAUUUUUAAAAAUUGCUUGUUUUUCUAGAGCAGUAAAAAUAUUUACUUUCAAAUGUCUAAUCAUCGGGAUAUUUCAGAAGCCCAUAAAAAUGUAUGAAUGAUGAAAACAGCUAAGCGUGUUUUCCUUCCCUUUAUUUAUGUCUCUGAGCCUUGGAAUCUGAUAACAAUUCUACAAUGAAGGCCUUUCUUCUGAUGGAGAGAGGAGCUGGCGCUGGGUGUGGAAAGCGUAUGCCGGGAAUGUAGUGAGUUCAUGACUUGAAAAGUGAGAGCAUUGCCCUCUGCUUGGAGGAAAGGAGGCCAGACACAGGCAGAGUGAGGCCACCAAAGAUCUCCACACAGAUAAAAGUAUCACGGCAGGUUGUUUCUCGGGAUACAUCAAAGCUCAGAACCCUGUCCUCUGUAUGUGAAAGAAGAGUUGUUUGAACUCUUAACUCUUCUGUCUGAAGGAACCCUGUCACCCAUCACACCCACUCACAGUUAUCACAAAAGAGCAAAUUCUGGCUUUCUAGUAGGGUGCUUGCAUUCUCUGAGAUGUAAAAAAAUAACAAUUAAAAAAUUAUAGUUUUAAUUUUGUUUUUUUUUUUAUGUGUGUGUGUUUCAGAGAAUCAAAUUAAUAGUGAUCUCUAUUGAUGUAAAAUGGUAAGCAUUGUGUGAAUGCUUUCAUAUAUUAUCUCUUCUCAUACAAUAAAAAUCUAUGAAGUGGAUACUUUCAAUGUCCUUAUUUUACACGGGGACAAGCAGAAAAAUUUGAAAGACUGUUCAUCUUGAUAGUGGGCAGCCAAUAAGGGACAGGUCUGGGAUUGGCACCACAGGACCUAAGGUCAAAGCCCAUGACUGUAACUGCUUAAGCCUGCCAUCUUCGAUCACGAUGCCUCUUGGCGUUCUUUCAUUUAUACAGAGCAUACAUAUUUAUCUAUAUAUCUCUGAUGAUAUUUUGGGUAUGCACUAACAAAUAAAGCUUGCCUGAAAAUCAGAGGGCAAAGCCAGCCACUAGUUAGCCAUAGAGGCCAGGCAGUGGUGGCACACACCUUUGCUCCCAGCACUUGGGAUCUCAUGCCUUUGCUCCCAGUACUUGGGAGGCACAUACACCUCUAAUCCCAGCACUGGGAAAGUUGAGACAGGAAGUGAUACGACUGAGCAGAGAAAAGGAAUAUAAGGCGGGAGGAGACAGGAGCUCAGUCUCCUUUCCACUUAGGAGUUGGCGAGUUGAAGGUGGCUCUGGCUUGUUCCUCUGAUCUUUCAGCAUUUACCCCGAUAUCUGGCUCUGGGUUUUUAUUACAAGACCAAUUAGGAUUCGUGCAACAUAUAUCUGUAUUUAUAAUCUACCUAUGCCUUUCAGCUGUGCCUGCUCAUGUGUUAUCAUUGGUCCAUAUUUACUGGCUACAUUUUAAAGGCCCAGAGCUUCUCUGUACUUGAGUAGGAAAGAGUGGGCUCUGAAAAUGUAUAGCUCCUUCCCCGAUGUACGCAUUCCUCCGUGACAUAAAUGUCUGUACAUCCACAAUCCUCACAGAGAAUCCAGGGGGACGCAGAGAAAGAGACACAGAAGCAGGUGGCUCCGGCCGUGUGAUGACGAUGAGCACGGGCCUGAAGAAGACACAAGGAGGUGCCCGAGAAAGCCAGAGUCGCCGGCAGAACUGGGGUGUGGGAAGUAAAACCGGAAGGAGCAGAACAGAGCUGGGUAGCUUUAUUCCCGU